UUCGGUCUCGGAAGCUGAGUGGAACUACCUUUUUCCAUUCCGAACAGAGCCGUAAAACACUCAAGCGCCGACGAUAGUGAUUCCGCAAGGGAUUGCGAAAAUAGGUAGAGGCCGGGG
rfam:Candidatus Gottesmanbacteria bacterium RIFCSPLOWO2_01_FTLL_39_12b rifcsplowo2_01_scaffold_1874, whole genome shotgun sequence.